GCAGGCGGGUGAGAGUGAGAGAAAGUGAUGUGACUACAGAAGCGGAGUCAGAGAAGAAGAUGCCGUGAUGGAGUGGAGGUGCAAGAGAAAGAGAAAGAUCUGAAGGUGCUACGCUGCUGGCUUUAAAGGUGGAGGAAGGGCCAGGAGCCAAGAAAUGCAGGUGGCCUCUAGAAGCUGGAAGAGAUCAGGAAAAAAAUUCUCCCCUAGAACCCGUGAAGGAAAUGUAGCCUUAUUUACAUCUUGAUUUUAGGACUUCUGACCACCAGAAAUACAAGAUAGUUUGUUUUAAUCCAGUAAAUGUGUCGCAGUGGCAAUAGGAGACUGAUAAAAUGUCCAUUGGAUCCACUUAUCCUAUUACCUAAAAUGCCACCCAGAACCUGCUGUUGAUGGAAUAGUGCUGUGGUCUUUUGAAGGUCUCAUUGAGGCACAGCUACACAUAGUAGACUUUAAGUGAACACCUAUUCUGUGAUGCUGUGUUUCUGAUAGAAUAUAUGAGUUCAGGAGUCCAGAGUGGAAGUGGUAGUAGCUCUACUUUCAGUGACCUCUUAGAGAAUUUGUGGUUUCUGUUCUGCUCAGGCUCCCGGUUCCAAAAGGUGUAACACUUCCACCAGAGGACCUAGUAAGAACCCCAUUGGACUUUAAGUUAUGGUUGCUUUCAGUCGCUUCAGGCCCUUCAGUCCAAGAGACCAGCAGAUAAAGAAAGGAGUCCUACACUGGCAGGUUUCAACAGGAAAAAACAAACAACUACCCACAGUCCUGGACAUAGGAUGAACUCUCUAGAGAAGCAAGUGGGUCUGAGCAAUGCUGGGGAUGGACUGUAAUGGAUUUCGCAGUGUAUUGCCCGGAUUGCUCUCUUGGGAGCGAGUCCCUUAUUUCCCAGCUGUCAGAAGUGUUGGCUGCCGACAGCUCACAGCUGAGCCCUUUGCUGAGACUUGUCCUCAGCUGACGACUGCUUCCUGGCUUAUGGUCAUGUCACCUCCCUGAGGUGCAGUUUGCUUCAAGUGACUUAACAUUGCAGUGGUACAAAGACCUAGUCCUGUCCCCCUAAUGUGGAGACAACUCCAAGGGCCAGGCCAAUUCCAGAACUCCCUGUGAGUUUGGCUGAUACCUCUGUUUUUAAUUGAUCCUCAGUUCACUUCUCCCUCUAUCUAAUUCUGCUUCUCUGACAUCUUUACAGGUUGUGUUCCUGAGUAUACUUGCUAGUAACCUUCCUGCAUACAAGUUUUUGUUUCAGAGCCAGUUUCCUGGGGGAACUGAAACCUAGACAAUUAUAAUGAGUAAAGGACAUAAUCUGUCAUUUCACCUGCUUAAAAUAAUGAUGACAUUAUUUAUGACAUCGUGUCAUGACCCAAAUUUCUCACCUUAGGAUUUUGUUUUAGAAUUAAGUACUCACGAAGACACUACUUUCCUGAAAACCUGUUCUCUCCCUUUAUUAAUGAAAAACUAGACAAUUGAUCAUUAUUCCCUUUAUAUUUGGCUACUGAGAGAAUAAACUUGAUAUUUUGUUACA
rnacentral:lncRNA from 10 species